rnacentral:lncRNA from 1 species
UUUUACAUUAAUAAUACCCUGAAGCAAUGGCAUAGUGUUUGUUAGAUUUCUCGUCUCCCCUCAAAGCCUAAAGCCAAACACACCUUCUGCAGACUAUUUUGGUAAUCAUGAGAAGGAUCGGUUCCCAUACAGCUUUUCCAUGUCACCCACUUCUGAACAUUUCAGAUUGAACAGAAAUUCCAGGGGUCAGUAUCAUUUAAGGAUGUGACCGUGGGCUUCACCCAGGAGGAGUGGCAGUGCUUGGACUCAAGUCAGAGGUCCCUGUACAGGGACGUGAUGCUGGAGAACUACAGCCACCUUGUCUCAGUGGGUAAGGACUGUUUUUAUAUAAUUCCAAGUAGCAUGUUUUGAUUGUGUUAAUUAUGAGGCGUAUAGGCUCUGUGCCGCGUUGAAUGAUAUUUAAGAUCGGAAUUCAGGAGUCAUUGCCGAUUGACCACUUUUGGGCGCCAGGAAGGUAGUUGUGUUUACCUCUCCAGUGAAGUGUUCCGUGGCUUCUUCACUGAGCAGCUGCAGCGGCUUCCUCCUCUUCCAGAGGCCCUGAAGUCUAGGCCACCUGGUCUGAAUCCUGAAUGAUUUCACGUUGACAGGGUCCUGUGCUACCAAACCAGAGGUGAUCUUCAGGCUGGAGCAAGGAGAGGAGCCAUGGAUAUCGGAGGAAGAAUUCCCAAGCCAGAGCCUCCCAGGUGAGUUG